GAUAAACGCUGGCGGCGUGCCUAACACAUGCAAGUCGAACGCCCUUUUGCGCAAGUGAGAGGGAGUGGCGGACGGGUGAGUACCACGUGGGUACCUACCUUGAGGUGAGGAAUACCACCGAGAAAUCGGUGACAAGACCGCAUACGCUUGGCAACAAGCAAAGUCUCGCAAGAGACGCCACAAGAUGGGCCUGCGCCUGAUUAGCUAGUUGGUGAGGUAAUGGCUCACCAAGGCGACGAUCAGUAGCUGGUCUGAGAGGAUGAUCAGCCACACUGGGAUUGAGAACGGCCCAGACUCCUACGGGGGCAGCAGUGAGGAAUUUCGUCAAUGGGGCAACCUGAACGAGCAACGCCGCGUGCAGGACGAC
rnacentral:rRNA from 1 species